rnacentral:rRNA from 1 species
GAUGAACGCUGGCGGCGUGCCUAAUACAUGCAAGUCGAGCGAACAGACGAGGAGCUUGCUCCUUUGACGUUAGCGGCGGACGGGUGAGUAACACGUAGGUAACCUACCUAUAAGACUGGGAUAACUUCGGGACACCGGAGCUAAUACCGGAUGAUCUUUCGAACCGCAUGGUUCGAUAGUGAAAGAUGGCUUUGCUAUCACUUAUAGAUGGACCUGCGCCGUAUUAGCUAGUUGGUAAGGUAACGGCUUACCAAGGCAACGAUUCGUAGCCGACCUGAGAGGGUGAUCGGCCACCCUGGAACGUAGACACGGUCCAUACUCCUACGGGAGGCAGCAGUAGGGAAUCUUCCGCAAUGGUCGAAAGCCUGACGGAGCAACGCCGCGUGAGUGAUGAAGGUCUUCGGAUCGUAAAGCUCUGUUAUUAGGGAAGAACAAACGUGUAAGGAACUGUGCACGACGUGACGGUACCUAAUCAGAAAGCCACGGCUAACUACGUG